AGCCGCGGUAACACCGGCAGCUCUAGUGGUAACAAUUUUAUUGGCCUAAGCGUCCGUAGCCGGUUAAUAAGUCUCUGGUGAAAUCCUGCAGCUUAACUGUGGGAAUUGCUGGAGAUACUAUUAGACUUGAGACCGGGAGAGGUUAGAGGUACUCCCAGGGUAGAGGUGAAAUUCUGUAAUCCUGGGAGGACCGCCUGUUGCGAAGGCGUCUAACUGGAACGGUUCUGACGGUGAGGGACGAAAGUUAGGGGCGCGAACCGGAUUAGAUACCCGGGUAGUCCUAACUGUAAACGAUGCGGACUUGGUGUUGGGGUGGCUUUGAGCUGCUUCAGUGCCGAAGGGAAGCUGUUAAGUCCGCCGCCUGGGAAGUACGGUCGCAAGACUGAAACUUAAAGGAAUUGGCGGGGGGAGCACCACAACGCGUGGAGCCUGCCGGUUUAAUUGGAUUCAACGCCGGACAUCUCACCAGAGGCGACAGCUGUAUGAUAGCCAGGUUGAUGACUUUGCUUGACUAGCUGAGGAGUGGUGCAUGG
rnacentral:rRNA from 1 species